ensembl:lncRNA
AUGGACGGACGAGCCGGCAAAAACCCGACGCUCCGCUGCAUUAAAACAGUCCCUUCAAAAUAAAAUCACGGGAGGAUUUUUUCUUCUUUUUCCCCGGCAAAGGCCCGCGACCUAUUAAAGACCCCAGACCCACCAGUUGAGAGUCACUGAUUUAAACCAUACAGUUAUUAAACAGUUUAUCUAUCUGGGUUUUUACAGAUGUAUUUAAUGCUGUUUAUUUCACGUGCUGUUUAGUUGUUGCUUUUUAAACCAUAGUUGUAAACAUUUUAUUAUAUUUAUGUAAUUUAAUCAUAAAAUAUCUGUUAGUCAUUAAAAAAUAAACAAUAAGUUUAAGAAUAAAAACGUUUGGUUCAUAAACAUCGGCGUAUUUGUCACACUUUCAUCCUAAACUGAAUGGUUGGACCGAAAAUGUCAAAGAUUAGAAGACAUAAUGUUGGUCAAAUGUUAUUGUCUAAAGAAGAUAAAUUCAGUGUUAUUGCCGUCAGAUUUGUUAUAUUUUGAAAAUAAUCAGACUUUUAGUUCCACCUUAAAGCCAGAUUUUUAUUUCCAAGAGAAAACCAUUGUUAAACAUUCUAAUUUUAAGGAAGAGUCCAGUUACUCGACCAGUGAAGCCAUCAGGAGCUGCAGAGUGGAACCAACAAGAAGUUUGACUCACUAACACAAUGUCACACUUUGUCACCAAAGAGCAUCAGGAUGUGAAGACACACUGUAGAUUGUUGGUGUGAUGAUGAUGUUUGAGCUUCUUCUCCUCUGUCUCCUCUCACAGGGAGGAGAUGAUCUGCAGCAUCCUGGUGAUCUUCAUCCUGACCUCCUGUGUCUGUGGUCGGUUCACUUUUGUGUUUGUGAAGCAGCUGUGAAGCAUCAGCACACACUCCUCAGAAACAUCUGGAGAUGGAGUCUAAAGGCUCCAUGUUAAAGCUGUCACUUUGUCACCUCCUCCUCUCCUUCUCUGUCUCCUCAGCAGGGUCAUUUGUAGUGAAUGUGACACAGAGCUGGUAUCAUGCAGAGGAGAACCACAACAUCUCACUGGAAUGGAUGUUCCCCACCAGCACGGACCCCUCCCCCAACGCCCUUUAUGUCUCCUGUGAGACGUUAAUUAAUCAGACACACUCAGUCCUGUUUCAUCUGUAUGAAGGUGUCGAGAUCCCAGAGUUUCAGGAUAAACACUUUGCAGGACGAGUCCAGUGGGACAAAGACGUCCUCAGAGAAGGACGACUCAGACUUCACAUCUCCAGACUCCAGACUAAUGACUCGGGGCUGUACUGGUGUCAAGUGGAAACAAGUUAUGGGAAGAACUUUAAGGAAUGUCACCUCAAGGUCACUGCAGUGAAGGAUCGACCCGAACCUGAGACAUCGAGUGAUACCAGUCUGAGAUGGAUCGGCCUCUACUGGGCACUGGGACUGACAGCAGCUCUACUGGGAUGUUUCUUUAUUUUCUAUCUGCAUUGCAAAGAAAGAUUAGUGAUCAGCAGAACAAAUGAUACAUCGUUGUUAAAUUCAUCUAAGUUUUUGCACAGAAAGUGUCUGACUUCUGACAUCAAAGUCUAAAUGUGUGGGGAUGGAUGAGGCUUCCAGAAGGUUCUUCCCCAGGUUGAUGGAGAGAGAACAUUAGAUGUGAUGGUGAUGAGAACCUGUGUCCUGAUGCUAGAGAGGCAGGAUCAGCCCUCAGUUAUUUGUUCACAUUACAGUCUGUACUUUUACUUUCUACCUUUUUUUAUAUCUCAUUACUGUAAUUCUGUAAAUUACUACAGACUAUUGAAGCAAACUGCUAAUUUUCAUUUACCUUAAAAAAUUGUUAUGUUCUAAAAAUGUUAAUAAAUCAUGUGAAAGAAUGGGACUCUUUUCUUUGAAGAAAAUCUUACUUUGUAUGACGUCACUGAAGUGGUUGAAAGUGUAAAGAUGAACAGUGAGUAUUUUGUGUGUUGGUGUUUUUACUCUCAGUGUCUGAGUGACAGUGUGUGUUCUCACAGUGUUUGCUGCACUGAGCCUGUUUGGAGUCACGUGUUAAGAGUUGUGUUGCUUGCAGUGACCUUUGCAGGUGAUGUGAACUAUUGAGCUCAGGUGACUGUUGGUGCUGCAGACUGUAGUUACAGUUUUACACAUGUGACUCCAGUUGUGCCGCUGACGUUUAGCCAUCGGAAAAGACUUUAACAUGCAGAUUAACCGGAAUGUAAUUUUAUCUUCCUUCUUCUUCAUCUGGUGUUUGCUUGCUUCAUAAAUGUGGAUAAGCAUUUAGUAGAUGGUGUAAACGCCUUAUGUCCACAUCUGUGUGAACACAAUGAGGAUGUUUAUCUUGAAGGAGGAUGACGAACUGGCUGCAGGACAUGAUAUUCUGCACAAACAUGUACGAUCAGCACUUAUGUGAGUGCACCAGCACCUUCACUCAUGGUAGAAGGUUAGGACGAACUCGCUGCACGAGGAGUUCACUUAUCAAAGAGCUUCAGUUCAAGACGUCCAAGGUAAGGAGAGAAUCUCUUAAUGUUGGUGUUAUGAUUAUUUUAACAUUUAUUAUCUGAGGUCUCGUGGAUUUUUGCGAGUUGGAAGAAUUCCAGAAGAUCCGCCUCGUGAGGUUGUGUGAGUUCCCUGUGUGGUAUAUGUUAUAUUUGUACAUAGAUGUUCACACUGUGCUUCAUUGAUGACAAUAAGAAACGGAUGUGUUGGAGGAAACAUGAGGUCUGUUUGAAGAGUUUAAGGUUCAGUUGGAAACUCGGUCCGAGGAGAACAAACAAGUUAGUGUUGUUAAUUAAUGAUCGACAUCUUGGACCAAAGGAGGAAUUUGUCUGAAGCGAUGCUUCCAUUCUGUGCAUGUGCGACAACCACAAUAUGACACAAAGUCCAUUAAGUUUCUUGUUUGGAAGUCUGGACACUUUGUUUGCAGUUUGUAUUUCUUUUAUUUGAGUGAAACAUCUCCAGGAAAACCAGCUUCACUUUGUGGUUGUAGUUCUCCUGGAGGUUGUCAUCAGCAUGAAAGCUUUGUGUGUUUGUAACAAGCAUGAUGAAGAACACAAAGAGCAUCAGGAUGUGAAGACACACUGUAGAUUGUUGGUGUGAUGAUGAUGUUUGAGCCUCUUCUCCUCUGUCUCCUCUCACAGGGAGGAGAUGAUCUGCAGCAUCCUGGUGAUCUUCAUCCUGACCUCCUGUGUCUGUGGUCGGUUCACUUUUGUGUUUGUGAAGCAUCAGCACACACUCCUCAGAAACAUCUGGAGAUGGAGUCUAAAGGCUCCAUGUUAAAGCUGUCACUUUGUCACCUCCUCCUCUCCUUCUCUGUCUCCUCAGCAGGGUCAUUUGUAGUGAAUGUGACACAGAGCUGGUAUCAUGCAGAGGAGAACCACAACAUCUCACUGGAAUGGAUGUUCCCCACCAGCACGGACCCCUCCCCCAACGCCCUUCAUGUCUCCUGUGAGAUGUUAGCUGAUAAGAUACCCUUUACCCUGUUUGAGCUGUAUGAAGGUGUCGAGGUCCCAGAGAUGCAGAAUAAACGCUUUGCAGGACGAGUCCAGUGGGACAAAGACGUCCUCAGAGAAGGACGACUCAGACUUCACAUCUCCAGACUCCAGACUAAUGACUCGGGGCUGUACUGGUGUCAAGUGGACACAAGUUAUGGGAACAGCUCUAAGGAAUGUCACCUCAAUGUCACUGGUAUAGGUUCAUUAAGUUAAACUUACUAACACGUUUAGUUCAGCAGCUUUAUUCAGAUAAAUAAACCUUUUUCUUUACAUGAAUAAACAGAUUUGUUGUGUCUCUUUGCAGCAGUGAAGGAUCGACCCGAACCUGAGACAACGAGUGACACCAGACUGAGAUGGAUCGGCCUCUACUGGGCACUGGGACUGACAGCAGCUCUACUGGUUGUUUAUUCAUUUUAUCGCUGCAUUACCAAAAGGAUUAGAGAUCAGUACAACAAACAAUACAUCAAAACCACAAUUAAAGUUAUUGAUCCUUUAAGGUUUUGCACAGAAACAGUCUGAGUUGUUCAGACUGAAGUCCAGCUGAGACACAUCUGGAUCUUUGGAUGUCUCAUGUGUGUCUCAUGGACCAACAGCAGCAUGAAGGUAUCAGUGAGUCUACAGAGACACUUGUGACUCAGGGAGCUCCAGGUACGGCCCCCGGGCAAGUCGUCCUCCGUCUUUUGUUCAUUAUUGUCCGUGGUCACUUCUGUCUCCAUUUUGGCUUCGUUCUCAAACUGUCAGGCCACUCUUUACACUGCUGUGUAUUGUACCUCCUUUUUUGUCCUUUGCUUACAUUACGUCUUAGAAUAAGACGGGCGACAUCUGACAGCCAAUAAGGAUUUGCAUUUAAAAAAAAAAAUUGGACUGUUUAAAUAUUAUUUUAAAUUGUGGGCAAACUCAAAAGCGACUUUUGAUUUUAAAAGUAGCGAAGUAGAUUACAAGGUGUAAAUGGUACUCAAGUAUGAGUAAAAUUACACACUUAAAGCAAAUACUCAUAAAAGUACAAGUGCCCAAAAAAUCUACUCAAUUACAGCGACGUGAGUAUUUGUAGUUCG